rnacentral:rRNA from 1 species
ACGAACGCUGGCGGUGUGCUUAACAUAUGCAAGUCGAACGGAAAGGCCCUGCUUUUGUGGGGUGCUCGAGUGGCGAACGGGUGAGUAACACGUGAGUAACCUGCCCUUGACUUUGGGAUAACUUCAUGAAACUGGGGCUAAUACCGGAUAGGAGCUCCUGCUGCAUGGUGGGGGUUGGAAAGUUUCGGCGGUUGGGGAUGGACUCGCGGCUUAUCAGCUUGUUGGUGGGGUAGUGGCUUACCAAGGCUUUGACGGGUAGCCGGCCUGAGAGGGUGACCGGCCACAUUGGGACUGAGAUACGGCCCAGACUCCUACGGGAGGCAGCAGUGGGGAAUAUUGCACAAUGGGCGGAAGCCUGAUGCAGCAACGCCGCGUGCGGGAUGACGGCCUUCGGGUUGUAAACCGCUUUCGCCUGUGACGAAGCGUGAGUGACGGUAAUGGGUAAAGAAGCACCGGCUAACUACGUG